rnacentral:rRNA from 1 species
UAGAGUUUGAUCCUGGCUCAAGGACGAACGCUGGCGGCGUGCGUAAUACAUGCAAGUCGAGCGGACAGAUGGGAGCUUGCUCCGUGAUGUUAGCGGCGGACGGGUGAGUAACAGGUGGGUAACCUGCCUGUAAGACUGGGAUAACUCCGGGAAACCGGGGGUAAUACCGGAUGCUUGUUUGAACCGCAUGGUUCAAACAUAAAAGGUGGCUUCGGGCUACCACUUACAGAUGGACCCGCGGCGCAUUAGCUAGUUGGUGAGGUAACGGCUCACCAAGGCAACGAUGCGUAGCCGACCUGAGAGGGUGAUCGGCCACACUGGGACUGAGACACGGCCCAGACUCCUACGGGAGGCAGCAGUAGGGAAUCUUCCGCAAUGGACGAAAGUCUGACGGAGCAACGCCGCGUGAGUGAUGAAGGUUUUCGGAUCGUAAAGCUCUGUUGUUAGGGAAGAACAAGUACCGUUCGAAUAGGGCGGUACCUUGACGGUACCUAACCAGAAAGCCACGGCUAACUACGUGCCAGCAGCCGCGGUAAUACGUAGGUGGCAAGCGUUGUCCGGAAUUAUUGGGCGUAAAGGGCUCGCAGGCGGUUCCUUAAGUCUGAUGUGAAAGCCCCCGGCUCAACCGGGGAGGGUCAUUGGAAACUGGGGAACUUGAGUGCAGAAGAGGAGAGUGGAAUUCCACGUGUAGCGGUGAAAUGCGUAGAGAUGGGAGGAACACCAGUGGCGAAGGCGACUCCCGGUCUGUAACGACGCGAGAGCGAAAGCUGAGCAACU